GACGAACGCUGGCGGCGUGCUUAACACAUGCAAGUCGAACGGAAAGGCCCUGCUUUUGUGGGGUGCUCGAGUGGCGAACGGGUGAGUAACACGUGAGUAACCUGCCCUUGACUUUGGGAUAACUUCAGGAAACUGGGGCUAAUACCGGAUAGGAGCUCCUGCUGCAUGGUGCGGGUUGGAAAGUUUCGGCGGUUGGGGAUGGACUCGCGGCUUAUCAGCUUGUUGGUGGGGUAGUGGCUUACCAAGGCUUUGACGGGUAGCCGGCCUGAGAGGGUGACCGGCCACAUUGGGACUGAGAUACGGACCAGACUCCUACGGGAGGCAGCAGUGGGGAAUAUUGCACAAUGGGCGGAAGCCUGAUGCAGCAACGCCGCGUGCGGGAUGACGGCCUUCGGGUUGUAAACCGCUUUCGACUGUGACGAAGCGUGAGUGACGGUAAUGGGUAAAGAAGCACCGGCUAACUACGUG
rnacentral:rRNA from 1 species